ACCACUUCGAAAUGUUUAUCAUUUACUUUGACUGGUUCGUCUCUGCAAGGGUCUUUAGUAAAAUUUAUUCUAAGUUCUUUGCAUUUUCCAGAAUUUAAUUGAAAUUUGUUAUUAUUUGACCAAUUAGCCACUUGAUCAACUAUAUCUUGUAAAUUGCUAUUUUCAGUUCUAGGGAUGACCUCCGAAAUAUUGUGGAAUCAUCAGCGAAUUUCCACAUCUUGUUUGUUGAAUUCUCUGAAACGUUCAAAUCGUUUAUCAUAAUGAGGAACAACCAUGGUGCUAAUUUGGUCCCUUGAGGUACCCCUGCCUGGACUUGCAGUAUAUUGGAAUGGCACUUAUAAUUCAACUUAAUUCUUGGGGUACGCUUAUAUAAGAAGUCUGUAAUCCAAUUAGUGACUGAUGGUUUAAUUCCGUAGUUAAUAAGUUUUGAUAUAAGAAGGGUAUGGUCCACCAAGUCUAAAGCUUUCCUAAAGUCUAAUAAGGCAACUUUCACUGUAGAACCUGUUCCAUCUGUUGCGGCCAACCAGUUAUGUAGCAUGGAGAUAAUUGCAUGAGUUGUACAUGAUUUAGGAAUGAAGCCAAAUUGGUGGGGAUCUAUUUUCUGUAAAAUCUUAGGUUUCAGUUCGAGGUCGAUUACAAACCCUUCCGCGAUUUUCGAUAGUGUAGACGUCAACGAUAUUGGUCUCAGGUCUUUGUUGAAAUCAGUUAUGCUCGAUGUUUUAGGGAUGGGUGAUACGUCAGCCAUCUUCCAUGCCUGUGGAACCGCACAGUUACGAAAUGAACAAUUUAAAAUGUCUGUAAUGGCUGGAGCUAAGAUAUCAGCAUAUAUUUUUAAUACCCAAUUUGGAAGUUUGUCUGGACCAUUUGCUCUGGACAUACUUAUUUUGCGUAACUUCUGCUGAACAGAUGUUAGGCUAACUUGUAUAGGGUCAUCUUCCUCUUGGGUUACAUGGGCAUCGUCUGUUAAAGGGGUAUAAUCUUUUGUGACACUAAUAAAGGCUUCGUUUAUCAUAUUAGCUAGUACUUGGUCGGAACAAUCAUUGUUUAUCCUUAGGAUAGAACGUAGAUC